GUGUCAGCCGCCGCGGUAAUACGAAGGGUGCAAACGUUAUUCGGAAUCACUGGGCGUAAAGGGUGCGUAGACGGUAUGUUAAGUUCGUUGUUAAAGGCUCCGGCCUAACCGGAGUAUUGCGAUGAAAACUGGCGUGCUAGAGGGUGAGAGAGAGAAGUGGAAUUCCUGGAGUAGCGGUAAAAUGCGUGGAUCUCAGGAGGAACACCAAUGGCGAAGGCAGCUUCUUGGCUCAUUCCUGACGUUGAGGCACGAAAGCGUGGGGAGCAAACAGGAUUAGAUACCCUUGUAGUCC
rnacentral:rRNA from 1 species